GAUGAACGCUGGCGGCGUGCUUAACACAUGCAAGUCGAACGAAGCAUUUGCGACAGAUUUUUUCGGAAUGAAGUUGCUUAUGACUGAGUGGCGGACGGGUGAGUAACGCGUGGGUAACCUGCCUUGUACUGGGGGAUAGCAGCUGGAAACGGCUGGUAAUACCGCAUAAGCGCACAAUGUUGCAUGACAUGGUGUGAAAAACUCCGGUGGUAUAAGAUGGACCCGCGUCUGAUUAGCUAGUUGGUGAGAUAACAGCCCACCAAGGCGACGAUCAGUAGCCGACCUGAGAGGGUGACCGGCCACAUUGGGACUGAGACACGGCCCAGACUCCUACGGGAAGCAGCAGUGGGGAAUAUUGCACAAUGGAGGAAACUCUGAUGCAGCGACGCCGCGUGAGUGAAGAAGUAAUUCGUUAUGUAAAGCUCUAUCAGCAGGGAAGAUAGUGACGGUACCUGACGAAGAAGCUCCGGCUAAAUACGUG
rnacentral:rRNA from 1 species